rnacentral:rRNA from 1 species
CACGUAGGGCGCGAGCGUUGUCCGGAAUUAUUGGGCGUAAAGAGCUCGUAGGCGGCCUGUUGCGUCCGCUGUGAAAGCCCGGGGCUUAACCCCGGGUCGGCAGUGGAUACGGGCAGACUUGAGUUCGGCAGGGGAGACUGGAAUUCCGGGUGUAGUGGUGGAAUGCGUAGAGAUCCGGAGGAACACCAGCGGCGAAGGCGGCAUCCUGGACUGGUACUGACGCUCAGGAGCGAAAGCGUGGGGAGCGAUCCGG